GACGAACGCUGGCGGCGCGCCUAACACAUGCAAGUCGAACGAGCGAGAGAGAGCUUGCUUUCUCGAGCGAGUGGCGAACGGGUGAGUAACGCGUGAGGAACCUGCCUCAAAGAGGGGGACAACAGUUGGAAACGACUGCUAAUACCGCAUAAGCCCACGACCCGGCAUCGGGUAGAGGGAAAAGGAGCAAUCCGCUUUGAGAUGGCCUCGCGUCCGAUUAGCUAGUUGGUGAGGUAACGGCCCACCAAGGCGACGAUCGGUAGCCGGACUGAGAGGUUGAACGGCCACAUUGGGACUGAGACACGGCCCAGACUCCUACGGGAGGCAGCAGUGGGGAAUAUUGCACAAUGGGGGAAACCCUGAUGCAGCGACGCCGCGUGGAGGAAGAAGGUCUUCGGAUUGUAAACUCCUGUUGUUGAGGAAGAUAAUGACGGUACU
rnacentral:rRNA from 1 species